rnacentral:piRNA from 1 species
UGAAACGCCUUCCUACUUAGUUUUUCUGAGU